rnacentral:rRNA from 1 species
GACGAACGCUGGCGGCGCGCUUAACACAUGCAAGUCGAACGGAAAGGCCUGCUUUCCCUUGUGGAUUGCGGGUACUCGAGUGGCGAACGGGUGAGUAACACGUGAGUGAUCUGCCCCCAACUUGGGUAUAAGCCUGGGAAACUGGGUCUAAUUCCCGAUAGGACUGCAGGGUGGUGCCUGUGGUGGAAAACGAUUUUCUAGUGGUUGGGGAUGAGCUCGCGGCCUAUCAGCUUGUUGGUGGGGUAAUGGCCUACCAAGGCGGCGACGGGUAGCCGGCCUGAGAGGGUGGACGGCCACAUUGGGACUGAGAUACGGCCCAGACUCCUACGGGAGGCAGCAGUGGGGAAUAUUGCACCAUGGGCGGGAGCCUGAUGCAGCGACGCCGCGUGGGGGAUGACGGCCUUCGGGUUGUAAACUCCUUUCGACCGCGAGGAAGCCACCUGGUUGGAAGGGUGGUGACGGUAGUGGUAGAAGAAGCACCGGCUAACUACGUG